CAGCAACGCCGCGUGCGGGAAGAAGGCCCUCGGGUUGUAAACCGCUUUCAGAAGGAACGAAACUGACGGUACUUUCAGAAGAAGGUGCGGCCAACUACGUGCCAGCAGCCGCGGUGACACGUAGGCACCAAGCGUUGUCCGGAUUUAUUGGGCGUAAAGAGCUCGUAGGCGGUUCGGUAAGUCGGAUGUGAAAACUUUGGGCUCAACCCAAAGCGUGCAUUCGAUACUGCCGUGACUGGAGUUCGGUAGGGGAGCGGGGAAUUCCUAGUGUAGCGGUGAAAUGCGCAGAUAUUAGGAGGAACACCGGUGGCGAAGGCGCCGCUCUGGGCCGAUACUGACGCUGAGGA
rnacentral:rRNA from 1 species